UAUUUUUAGCUUAAAUAGUAAAAAAAUUUCAGUGUUACUUCAGUAAAAUUUUUUGGAUAACUUUUUGAUUCUUGCGUUUCAGUAUUGAAUUUUAUUAAUUAUAUGCGAGCGAAUUCCUGUCCGUGAUGAACAGCUGAGAAUCGAAUGAAUUUUCAUGCUAAAACAUCAGAUAUAAGUGAUUAAGUCAUGUACAAAGUGGACUACUUAAAUGGGAUCAUCUAAUGGUAAAGUAAUUUUAAAGAUAGAGAUAAACUUUGUUAAUAAAAGUUCAUGACCGUUUUAUUACUGAGGGAACCAUAAUAUCGCAGUGGUGAUUUUUUUUUAUAAAUGAAGGAGUUUCGAAGAUUUCAAUGUUACCUCUCAGGUUUAGGAGUAAUAUUACGAUAUAUUUUUUUGUUACUAAUCGAUAUAUUCUCGGCAUUCUUUAUAAAAGAAAAGCAUUAUGUAGAGAGGACAGAAGUACUCGAUGAGAAAUUAUCUAUAUUUUAAACUGUUUGAACUUCAUAAAACAAAUUCGUACACUCUUGUGGCGUCGUUUUAAAGAAUGAUAUCUCUACUUUACACCCUGCAACUUCUUUUUUCUAAAGAUGUUUUCACAUCAUACAGCGGGUAGAAAAGGAAAGAUGUUUUUGUCGUUGUAAACCGUAAGAAUUCAAACAUCUUUGAAAUCACUGAAAAUUUUUUUUCAUUACUAAAUCUAUCAUAAUUUUAAAGAUUAAAAUAGUUUAAGAUUUUUUUAAUUUAAGAUAAUUUUGAAAAAGUUUUCCUUUGCAUCAACUCCUUAAUACUUGCUGUACGAUUUUUUUCCCAGCAUUUUAAUGAACCGUAAGUAUUUAUUUCUUGAACUUUUGUUAUUUAACUUUUGUUUGAGGUUCGACAAAGUGACGAAAAAAAAAUCGUACAUCGAGUUUCAAGGAGUCGUUGUAAAGAGGAGACUUUGGUCUUCAAGACCGUGAUAGAUUUAGCUGUGAGAAGAUUUUUUCAGUAGUAUUUUAAUUUUUACAACUUUUGGGAACAGGAGUAUCAUUGCUUUUCCAUUUGAUGCAUGGUGUAAAAAUAUCUUUGAAAAAGUAACGUUUGCUACACAAAGUGAAGGCAACAUUCUUUGAAAUGAGAUUAUUACACGACUUUUUUUUAAUGAAAUUCCAACAACUUUGAGAUAUAGACAAUUUUUCACCGAGUGUGCGAAUCCUUUCGUCCACCUAUGCAUAUCGAAAAAUUAGUUUGAGAGAUAAUUUUAGCUUUAAUUCUGCAGAAUCUACGUAUAAGAAACAAGGAAAUCUUUCAUAGAUUUUACAGACUUAAUGUUAAACUAAUAGCACUCCUGAACUAAUAGCUUUACGAUUUACAUUAAUAUUUUUUUUCUACAGAGGAUGUCGAAUUACAUCGAUGAAUGUCGCGCAUAAAAAAAUAUAUCAUUCUAUUUAAGAAAACUGGAAAUAAUCAUGAAAUCUUAGAAACCCUUUCACUUAUAUAAAGAUCAAAGACAGCGGCCUGCGAUGUUACGGUCUGUCCUUAGUACUAGAUAACUUUUAUUAACAAAUGUAUAUGUCUCAAAAAUAACAUAAUAAUAAUAAUAACAUAAUAAUAAUAAUAACAUAAUAAUAAAAAUAACAUAAUCUGGAGUUAUAUAGAUCCCAUUUAAAUGGUCCAUUCUGUAUAAUAAGCAGUAUUAAGCCAUAUAUAUAGAUUUAAAUCAUAUAAAAGUAACAAAUGUAAUAAAACGGUGCAUAGGCAAUACGUCUGAAAAAAUACACGUUGUAAUCGAAGCAAAGGAAACGAUUUUUCAACUAUGUGAGGGGGUGUUGAAAGUCUGAAUUUCAUCAAUAUUUUAUUGAAUUUUAUUGCGAUAUCGAUCAGCUUUGAUAAAUGUAAAAAUAUAGAGAAUUCAAGAAGCGAAAGAAUUCUACAAAACUAUAAUAAGUUAAAGGAUAUCGACACAUGGGGCGUGCUUCAUGUGUUUUUAUUACGAAAGACAGAAGAUAUGAAAUUCUAAAGCAACGAUUCUUUUUGAUUAUUCGUUGAUUUAUCAAAAUCAUUUUGAACACCCGCAAGACAUAGCGAAUCGAAUCGAGCGUUGUAAAAGCGAGACAAAUCCGAAAUCGUUUCCUAGUUGUGAGAAUAUUUUAGUUCGAGAUCGUCAUUGAAGUCUGAAUGGUCAGCGUGCAGCUAUCCGAGAAGCUAUCGAGUCAUGGCAAUAUUUUUGUUCAGAACGAGGAAAAAACUGAAACUGUUGCAGAGAAUGGAAAUAUUCAACUGAGUAGCAUCUCCAGAAAUUUUAGCAUUGAAAUUUUGAGCAACAGCCAGCGUGAUAGUUACUUUAAUUUCACUUGCUCCAGAGAAGGUCCUAAAAGAAUGUUAGCAUCAAGAACCCGAUAAGAAAACAUACCAGCGAUAAGAGAAUGGACAACAUCCGAAUCCGACAACGAAGCGAGGAAAGCCUGGAAUAUAAAGUAUUUUUCACCGCUUCUCCAAUCCUCUCAAAAUACGAUGCCCCAGGAGAAUUGAAGAUUCAAUUGUCUUCUGGUCUUCUAGUCUGGAAAUGAUGAUCUGAAAGUUGGAAUUGUGCAGAGAAGACAAGUGUUGCAGUUGUUGUUACGUUAACGAGGUUGACUUCAUGGUCGCUUCGGAUUAUAUUAUAAAGACCUAAAUUGAAAAUGAAUUGACGACAAAGAAGAAAAACCUCCGUUGGAGGCCAGUUAAAGAUGGUUACUAGACAAACAGAGAUAUACAUAGAACUUUUUUUCGUCUUCCAAAUAUUUUGAUACAAAAGGAAUGUCAACUUAAGUUUAGAAAGUAGAUGACUUAUUCGUCCAUUAUUCUCCUUAGCAUCAAUAAAUAACGCAGGAAAGAAAGACGUCACUGAUUUACAUUUAAUAUUAUAUAUUAUAUAUUGUCUAUUCAAUUAUACACAUAAUAGUAUCGUACAGUACAAGAAUUGGCGAUCUGCGUCCAAGUUUAACAGGGAGUUAUGCAAUUCUGAAGAUCCUGAGAUCUCUCAAGGUUCAUCUAAAAGGGGAACAAAUUCAACAAGCUGUCCCCGAGUUACAGAAGAAAUUUUCAGCCAAAAAAAAACAUCUCUGAAUUAUUUUUACCGAAGGAAACAGGGACCCUUUCAGACUGCUUUCAAGAAUAUCUUCGCAUGAUGGAGACUGUAGUUCAGCAGUCCAGUUGUUAAUUCUAGGUUGGAGAGUCUUAAGGAUUGCAAACAGUAUCUCGGCGAUUCUACUUAUGACAAAGAUUUUCCAGUAAGAUGGUUGCAAUGAACUGAGAGUAGAAGUUGUUCAGAGGUGUAUCUCUUUGGCAUUUGGAAAAUUCUUGGACGAUUUGAUUUCAACUUUUUUAAAUAUAUCAUUGUAUAAGGAAUUAUAUUAAUAUUAGACUCAGCAGAAAUCCUAGAUAACAUCCAAGCAGAACAUUGAAAGUCGUGCGUCAGAAGAAGACGUAGAAGAUGACUGAAGCUAUAUGACUUUAUCAUGAUCCAGAUUAUAUCCAUGAUCCACUUGCUUGCGCACGAUUCAACCUACACCAGCGCAGUGGCAAGAAAAACGACUAUGCAGACUCUUAGCCUAAGAACCACAAAGGGCUAAAUCUUUUGGAUUAAAGAAUUUUAAAGACGCUAGACUGUUGGCUAUAUGAUAGGAGAAAGCAAGUGAAAUAAGUAACAAGAUACCAGCUGGUCGAUACGCUUCAAGAUCGAGCAAUACAAAAUUAAAUGUCCAUAUCGACUAGAAAGAAGUUGGUCAGAUGAAUAGAUUAUUCAUUUCUUUGUCUCCUUUUUCUAUGACCUUGCAAUUGGAAAACAGUGAACACCUGCAAUUGGAAAAACCGACUCCAGCCGAUUCAAUUUGUCUUACAGAAAUUUUACACUCAGUUGAAGACAAAAGUUGAAGUUUUCGUAAAAGCGUUAAUAGAAGUUUCCCGGCCUAUUCACGUUGAGUAUGUUCGCAAUUAGGAAUACCAAUCAGUCACUCCAAUAUUCUAUUAAACUCUUGAAGCUGUAUUGCACUCGAUGGUGCCGUUAUUUUUGAUUCUCGAGCAGUUUCAAAACACUAUGGAUUUCAAGAACAUCAACAUUAAUAAUUGGUCACAAGAAGCCGUUUGUUUUGGUUUGUUUGAUUUAUUACAAAAGCUCACGAACGAUCAAAAUUGUACUCCAUGACUGCGAUGUUGUUCAGGAAUUCGAGAUUAUGAUGAACUGAAAGAAACUACAAAAAGAAAUUAAGUUAAUAUUAAUAGUAACUUUGUUUCUAAACAUUCGGUGCUUAUAAUUUAGUCUAUCUUGGCUAUGGAUUUUAAUCACGAUUUCAAUGACGAUUGCCAUACUGUAGUUUCUUUAUAGUCACAGCUAUCAAUAUUGUCGAAUUUCUCAGAGAGCAAACCUCUUAUUUUACGUUAUGUUUACAGAUAGUUGUAGAUGAAGCUUGCUGAUUUCUAAUUUCAUAGCUCCAAAUUUAAUUUUGUUAGAGUAUGAAUCUUAAACAAUAAGUUCCUUCUCACGACAAAUUAAAAAUGAACUUUAGUCGCUUUAAAGUCAGGGAUCUAUUAACGUCGAAAUCCAAAAAGUGUUAAAAGUAAUAGAUAGUUACAAUCAGAAGUACCAGAUGCAAGGUAAACAUGGCAGCAUGAGGAUCUUAUAAUGUAGUAGUCAGUAAAAAAGACAAUAGAAUCAUGGUAGUGGCCGUAUUUUAGAUAAUAUCUUUUAUCAGACCUGCCAAACUAGCGGGCAGUUAUGACUUAUACAACUGUCUGAGAGCCACGGUAGAGAAAGGGUCCUAACUCUUAUUUCUUUCUCCUCCAGAUACUGCACUAAGUCCAAUCACCUACUUUUCAAAUUAUAGAAAGCUGUUUUUGAAAAUACAUCAACAUGAGAAGAGAUUAUAAUUGAUAAAGUGAAAAGAAUAAAUCAAACAUGUGCGAUAAUGACUAUGUGAUAAAAGAAUUGACUAGGGUCUGAAAAAAAAAGAGAGAAAUUUUCGGCUUUCCCUUCUUUUUCUUUCGAGGUUCUAAUCGAUUCUCUUAUUAAAAUUAUUACACAUAUUUCGUUUAAUCUUUUAACUUUGUCAAAGAAAUAGAGCGAAGAGAGCUCUCGAAAAGGAGUACAAGUCAUGAUUGUAUCGCGAACCGCCUGUUCGACAGUACAUAAUAAAAGAAUUAUAGAAGAUGAAGGCCAAUUAUUGCAAAAUGAUUUUACACGAAAAAUAAUGAAUGACUCAUUACGAUUCAUUUAAUUGCAUUUGUUUGUUCUUGUUAUAGUACUUCACUUCACUAUAAUUGUAUCACUAUAGUUUAUGAUUCUAACAGCCAGUUUACACGAUUGAUCGAUCGGUCUCUAUGAAUUCGUGGUUUCAAUAUUGUAGAAAUGCUAAAACAAGUUUAUGACUUUAAAGCGACUCAGCGUUUAUAAUACUUAUAAAAUGUUAUGUACAACAUUAUGUACUCUGUGUACAAUACUUGUAAAAUAAUAUAAUUUUAAUAUAAUAUUUUACAAUUAAUAAUUAAUUUAAUACAAUGUAAUAUUUCAAUAUAUUUUAAUAUAUUAAAAUAUAAUAAUAUUUUAAUAUAAUAUUUUAUAAUUAAUAAUUAAUUUAAUAUAAUGUAAUAUUUUAAUAUAUUCUAACAUAUUAAAAUAUAAUAAUAUUUUAAUAUAAUAUUUUAUAAUUAAUAAUUAAUUUAAUAUAAUGUAAUAUUUUAAUAUAUUCUAACAUAUUAAAAUAUAAUAAUAUUUUAAUAUAAUAUUUUAUAAUUAACAAUUAAUAUUUUAUAAUUUUAAUGAUUAUGAGAAAGAAAGGCAUGUCGAACACGUGGAUCUGAUCUUUGAAUACAGAAAAGCGCAAUAGACAAUGCAGAAUCGCGUAAAAUUGAGUAAACAGUGUGUAAUAAAAUCGAUUUGACUUAGUUUAAUUAAGUUUAAUCUUAAAAUAACUAUGUGUAUAAUGUAUGUCACUAAUGUAUAUCAAUAUAUGUAUCUUGAUGUUA